AACGAACGCUGGCGGCAGGCCUAACACAUGCAAGUCGAACGAACCCUUCGGGGUGAGUGGCGCACGGGUGCGUAACGCGUGGGAAUAUACCCUUUGGUGCGGAACAACAGUUGGAAACGACUGCUAAUACCGCAUAAUGACUCCGGUCCAAAGAUUUAUCGCCAAGGGAUUAGCCCGCGUCUGAUUAGAUUGUUGGUGAGGUAACGGCUCACCAAGUCGAUGAUCAGUAGCUGGUCUGAGAGGACGACCAGCCACACUGGGACUGAGACACAGCCCAG
rnacentral:rRNA from 1 species